GACAUGAGGGCAAAUAAUCAGGGCAGCUGCUUUACAAAAGACCAUGUGCCCCGUGUCAGUUGGGAGAAGCUGAGCCUAGGAGUGGAAAGCAGGCUGUUUUCCCUAACUCUGAAGCAUUUUGCAACAGGGUUGGUUUUUUAACUAUAUACUUAACUGAGUGGUGGCUUAUUGGUGUCUGAGUGAUUUCAGCAGAGGAGGAGGAAGAGUCUCCAUGGAUUCCAGCUGAACAUUUCUAAAAGCAAGUGAAGCCUACACACUGACACAAAACAGGUUUUGUUGCCAGAGGAGAUGCCAGACAGGGAGACAAGCUGACACCCAGAGGCCACGGCCGAAAGAAAUUGGCAUCUGGGUCUUGCAGCUGCCAAACCUUCUCUAUGAGUGGCCACAGCAAUCAGCUCCAGUGAUGUAGCAAACUGAGGAGGAGGAGGAGGAAAAGGGCAUGUGGUGCACAAUCAAUGCUGCAAUCAAAAGGAAGAUGCGGUGCCAGCUGGUUACUGCAGUUUUAUCACUCUGCCAGAAACACAAAAUAAUAUUUAAAGAAAACAACAACAACAAAAGCUUAGCAGCUUGCAUGGCCUAUAGCAGUGAAUGUGAAGAGUGAGAAGGUGGGCCAUGUGUGUGUGGCUGACACAGGAUUCCUGCAGCAAAGGGGACCCUGAGGCCCAUUUCUGUAGAGUGCCAGUGAUUUGUGGGAGUCAGUUCACUUUAGAAUUCUACAGCUACUUUUAAAAGUACAAGUUGUGCCAGGCAAAAGCCUGAUCUAUA